ensembl:lncRNA
GUAAGUUCUAGAAGUAGUAGGCAUGGGAAGGUGUGGGAGGGGAGGAAAGGUCAUUCUUGAGAAGAAGUUGAAGAUACAAUCGCUAACAGCUGGUGAGUCACUGGAGGCCAAGAGGUGAGAUGUGGUUUGCCUUCUCAGCCGUCACAGCUAUGCAUGCCUGCACGCAAUUGCUCGGCUGCUUCUAACUCACCGACACACUGAGUUUGGCGUGCUGUCUGAGACACAGAAAUUGGAAGACAACAAGGAACCAGUGCAGAAGAUGCCCCUGUGGACGGAAUACUCAAGUGCGUUCCAGAGAGACUUCGUGUUGAUGUAAAGCAGCAGUGACUUAGAAAGGCUGAGAACGCAGACCCUGACGACCUGGAGAGGCUGUGCUUAGCAUGGGAAUCACAGAGAGAUUUAUCUUAAAGGUGUCCAGGAGGCCAGAAAACUACAUUGGAUCUCUCAAAGCUGGGUUUCCAGGCACUUGUGAGCUGCCUGAUGUAAGUGCUGGGAACUGAACUCAGG